AGGUCCAUAGCUCAGUGGAAGAGCAUCUACUUUGCAAGCAGAAGGUCCCAGGUUCAGUCCCAGGAUCUUCAGGUGGGACUG